rnacentral:lncRNA from 1 species
GGCUCAUGUGUGAAGAUAGUCAUCAUUGUCUUGAGUCACCCCAUCUUAACUGCCCAUCUGGACCACACUGUGAGAGGAGCCCACCCAGUCCUAAUGUAACAAUAUUCUUCCCCAUGAGUAGUCUAGUUAAUGAAAUUGGAGAUGGAAAGUACAAGCAGAGCAGACCUUGCUCUCCCAAGCCCACAACAGGCCUCCAGUAUUGAGCUCUCAGAAACAGCUUUCCAUGGUGAUAUCCCAAAGAGGAAGGCUGUGCUGUCCCCACCACAACGUACAUGGCUGACAUUUUUGAAGAAUGAACUGGAAUUUCUGGGGGUGAGUGAGAGUCCUCCAACCUCACAUGGAGUAGUGCUGGCUCUAGGAAAGAAUAUUUGGUU